UCUUUUCCUUCAGGUUUUGCCACUUUGC
rnacentral:piRNA from 2 species